rfam:Fictibacillus phosphorivorans strain G25-29, complete genome.
GUGUCAGAUAAUAUUCUCCUUCGUAUAUCCUCGAUAAUAAGGUUCGAGAGUCUCUACCGGGUUGCCGAAAAUGACCUGACUAUGAAGGCAGGAUUCUUUAUA